rfam:Nomascus leucogenys chromosome 4, whole genome shotgun sequence.
GGAUGUGAGGGCGAUCUGGCUGCGACAUCUGUCACCCCAUUGAUCGCCAGGGUUGAUUCGGCUGAUCUGGCUGGCUAGGCGGGUGUCCCCUUCCUCCCUCACCGCUCCAUGUGCGUCCCUCCCGAAGCUGCGCGCUUGGUCGAAGAGGACGACCAUCCCCGAUAGAGGAGGACCGGUCUUCGGUCAAGGGUAUACGAGUAGCUGCGCUCCCCUGCUAGAACCUCCAAACAAGCUCUCAAGACAAUGUUUCACAAAUUUCACCAACCAGGAACUUUUGAUCAAAUGGCAUUGCACAAGGAAUUUUAGGAAGACAAGCUUUGG